rnacentral:rRNA from 1 species
AGCGAACGCUGGCGGCAGGCCUAACACAUGCAAGUCGAACGGACCCUUCCGGGUUAGUGGCGGACGGGUGAGUAACACGUGGGAAUGUGCCUUUAGGUUCGGAAUAGCUCCUGGAAACGGGUGGUAAUGCCGAAUGUGCCCUUCGGGGGAAAGAUUUAUCGCCUUUAGAGCGGCCCGCGUCUGAUUAGCUAGUUGGUGAGGUAACGGCUCACCAAGGCGACGAUCAGUAGCUGGUCUGAGAGGAUGACCAGCCACACUGGGACUGAGACACGGCCCAGACUCCUACGGGAGGCAGCAGUGGGGAAUCUUGCGACAUGGGCGAAAGCCUGACGCAGCCAUGCCGCGUGAAUGAUGAAGGUCUUAGGAUUGUAAAAUUCUUUCACCGGGGACGAUAAUGACGGUACCCGGAGAAGAAGCCCCGGCUAACUUCGUGCCAGCAGCCGCCGUAA